GAUGCCUUUAACCGGGUGUCGGGGGCGGACGGCACGUUUACUUUGAACAAAUUUGAGUGCUCAAAGCAGGCCUAUGCCUGAAAAUUCUUGCAUGGAAUAAUGGAAUAGGACUUCGGUUCUAUUUUGUUGGUUUUCGGAUCCGAAGUAAUGGUUAAGAGGGACAGACGGGGGCAUUUGUAUGGCGGUGUUAGAGGUGAAAUUCUUGGAUCGCCGCCAGACAAACUACAGCGAAAGCAUUUGCCAAGGAUGUUUUCAUUGAUCUGGAGCGAAAGUCAGAGGUUCGAAGACGAUCAGAUACCGUCCUAGUUCUGACCAUAAACGAUGCCAACUGACGAUCCGUGGGUGUUCUU
rnacentral:rRNA from 1 species